rnacentral:rRNA from 1 species
GUGAACGCUGGCGGUAGGCCUAACACAUGCAAGUCGAACGGCAGCACAGUAAGAGCUUGCUCUUACGGGUGGCGAGUGGCGGACGGGUGAGGAAUACAUCGGAAUCUACCUUUUCGUGGGGGAUAACGUAGGGAAACUUACGCUAAUACCGCAUACGACCUACGGGUGAAAGCAGGGGAUCUUCGGACCUUGCGCGAUUGAAUGAGCCGAUGUCGGAUUAGCUAGUUGGCGGGGUAAAGGCCCACCAAGGCGACGAUCCGUAGCUGGUCUGAGAGGAUGAUCAGCCACACUGGAACUGAGACACGGUCCAGACUCCUACGGGAGGCAGCAGUGGGGAAUAUUGGACAAUGGGCGCAAGCCUGAUCCAGCCAUACCGCGUGGGUGAAGAAGGCCUUCGGGUUGUAAAGCCCUUUUGUUGGGAAAGAAAAGCAGCAGGUUAAUACCCCGCUGUUCUGACGGUACUCAAAGAAUAAGCACCGGCUAACUUCGUG